UAAUAAAAUAUUAUUUAUAUAUAAUAAAAUAAUAAUAAAACAAAUCUCAUUAAUAUUUGAAUUGAUAUUUGAACUGAUAUUCUAGAAUCACAACCCAUUUAAAAAGAAAACAACCGGAGAUUUGAUACGGAGAGGAGAUUUGAGCAAACAAUCUUGUGCAUGCUCAUGGCGUUGGCAGUGUACUCAAGUUAAUAAUAUGCUAUUUUGUCAAAAUAGUCGAAGGAGUCGAAGGAGUCUAUCAGCCUCAAAUCUUUUCUUCUCUCCUUUUUCGACUUCCAGUCGCAACCAGGAAGAAAGGGAGUCACAGAUCUGAUUAAGGCAUUGUUGAGGUACUAUGGGUAAGAGAAGUUUGGAAGAGGGAGAAGAACAACAACAACAAAAAAAAAAAACGAAAAACAACAAAAAAAAAACCCUCUAAUAUGGUUGUCAGUUUCUCUAAGAGACGAGAUGGGCUUUUCAAGAAGGCGAGUGAGUUGUGCGUCAAGUGCGGCGCUCAAAUCACCGUUGUCAUCUUAUCACCAGCGGGAAUUCCUCAUGCUUUCGGGCACACUUCAGUGGAUGAAGUUCUCCAACACUAUCUUUAAUAAUAAUGCUGAUCAUCAAUUAAUAUCUAAGAUCAAUAAUUCAAUUUUAAAUCAUUAAUAAUAACAAUGACUAAAUAUCUAGAAAAAUAUAUAGAGAAUAUAUAAAGAAUCACAUAAAGAAACAUCAAUUAAAAUAUAAUGAAAGGGAAGUGAGAAGUAGAUCUGGCUUAAUUUUAUUGGGCUAGAAGGGAACUAAUUAAGGCUAAAGUUUCACAUUAAUAAAAGAAACAGAAAUUAUAGCGAUAUAUAAAAAAAAAUUGAUUAACAAUUAAUUAAUUAUAAAACAAAAUAUGUAUUGAAUCAAUAAAUGUGAACUCAAACUAAAUAAUAAUAAAAAAAGUCUAACCUGAUUAUAGAGUUCACAUUUAUUUAGUCUAAUGAAAUAUACUGCAGAGGUGUAGUUUUUAAAAAAUUAAAUAGUUUUACAUGCCUUUCAUAAGUUGAUUUUUUAAUUAAAUAAAUUAUGCACACCAUGUCUAAUCAUCUUACAUGAAAAUACAUCACUGUUUGCAGGAACACCGCCGCUUUGUCGACACUACCGUAUUCAAUUUAUCAAAGAAAAAAUGGAUAAUCUAGAUAUAUGCGACCCGGCUAGAAUGAAAAGUGAAAAAUACAAAAAUUACACUAUUGUCUCUAUCAAAGAAAAUAAAGAUUGAAAUCCACCAAUGACUAUCAUUAGUUUUCUUAUCUAUAAUUUUUAGACUAAUGUUAUAUUCAAUUAU